CUGCAUAUGAAUUGUGCAUGGAGAGAAAUAUGGGACAUGCGAUAUGACUGUUAACAUUUCAAAGAAGAUUAUUCAUCACUAUGGGAGGCAUCACUCAUAUUUGGCUUCUCCAGAUCCUUGAGAGUGAAGGUCUGCAGCUCAGAAUUCAACUAGUUGUUUUCAGCUUUUGACAGACUGCCUUUAUGAAGCAGAAUCGAAGGCCUUUAAGUGCUUGUAGUGGAUCCCUCUGAGAAAUGUAUAAUUGGUGUGGCACUGGCCCGCUGUCUUUCUUCUGCCUGUAGGGUAUUUCAAAACGUAACUCUUAGAAGGGAAGAGGUUAUGAGGCCUGAAGAACUCUCAUGUAGCCUGAAGCACCAAAUACUGCUCUCUGAUCUUCAGGGCUUUGGGAAGCAGCUGCUUCAUGUCUUUUCCUCAUCCUAAACCUCAAAAAUCCAAAAAUGCUGAGUUUAAGGUAUUCCUAACAUGCAUCAUGACACAUCAUGACAUGUUCCACAUAGGAGAUGGACUGCCUUACAGUCACAUUGGAACAAACUGUGCUGUCAUCAGUAGCCAUGAAGUACAUCAUAAAAUGCCACCAGCUGAGCCUAGCAGUAGUAGAUGCAACUCCAGAACUUCAGCAGAGUUUUCCUUGUUCAGACUGGAACUGGAAUUUGGCCCCUCAAAAAACACCUCAUAA
rnacentral:lncRNA from 1 species